GGUGGCGAGCGGCGGACGGGUGAGUAAUGCAUAGGAAUCUGCCCGGUAGUGGGGGAUAACCUGGGGAAACUCAGGCUAAUACCGCAUACGCCCCAAGGGGGAAAGCGGGGGACCUUCGGGCCUCGCGCUAUCGGAUGAGCCUAUGUCGGAUUAGCUGGUUGGUGAGGUAACGGCUCACCAAGGCGACGAUCCGUAGCUGGUCUGAGAGGAUGAUCAGCCACACUGGGACUGAGACACGGCCCAGACUCCUACGGGAGGCAGCAGUGGGGAAUAUUGGACAAUGGGGGCAACCCUGAUCCAGCCAUGCCGCGUGUGUGAAGAAGGCCUUCGGGUUGUAAAGCACUUUCAGCGAGGAAGAAGGCUUUCGGGCGAAUACCCCGGAAGAAGGACAUCACUCGCAGAAGAAGCACCGGCUAACUCCGUGCCAGCAGCCGCGGUAAUACGGAGGGUGCGAGCGUUAAUCGGAAUUACUGGGCGUAAAGCGCGCGUAGGCGGCUCGAUAAG
rnacentral:rRNA from 1 species